rnacentral:rRNA from 1 species
UGGGGAAUUUUGGACAAUGGGCGCAAGCCUGAUCCAGCAAUGCCGCGUGCAGGAAGAAGGCCUUCGGGUUGUAAACUGCUUUUGUCAGGGAAGAAAUCCUUUGGGUUAAUACCUCGAAGGGAUGACGGUACCUGAAGAAUAAGCACCGGCUAACUACGUGCCAGCAGCCGCGGUAAUACGUAGGGUGCGAGCGUUAAUCGGAAUUACUGGGCGUAAAGCGUGCGCAGGCGGCUUUGCAAGACAGAGGUGAAAUCCCCGGGCUCAACCUGGGAACUGCCUUUGUGACUGCAAGGCUAGAGUACGGCAGAGGGGGAUGGAAUUCCGCGUGUAGCAGUGAAAUGCGUAGAUAUGCGGAGGAACACCGAUGGCGAAGGCAAUCCCCUGGGCCUGUACUGACGCUCAUGCACGAAAGCGUGGGGAGCAAAACAGGAUUAGAUACCCUGGUAGUCCACGCCCUAAACGAUGUCAACUGGUUGUUGGACGGCUUGCUGUUCAGUAACGAAGCUAACGCGUGAAGUUGACCGCCUGGGGAGUACGGCCGCAAGGUUGAAACUCAAAAGAAUUGAC